rnacentral:rRNA from 1 species
AACGAACGCUGGCGGCAUGCCUAACACAUGCAAGUCGAACGAGACCUUCGGGUCUAGUGGCGCACUGGUGCGUAACGCGUGGGAACCUGCCCUUAGGUUCGGAAUAACUCCCCGAAAGGGGUGCUAAUACCGGAUAAUGUCUUCGGACCAAAGAUUUAUCGCCUUUGGAUGGGCCCGCGUUGGAUUAGCUUGUUGGUAGGGUAAAAGCCUACCAAGGGGACGAUCCAUAGCUGGUCUGAGAGGAUGAUCAGCCACACUGGGACUGAGACACGGCCCAGACUCCUACGGGAGGCAGCAGUGGGGAAUAUUGGACAAUGGGCGAGAGCCUGAUCCAGCAAUGCCGCGUGAGUGAUGAAGGCCUUAGGGUUGUAAAGCUCUUUUACCCGGGAUGAUAAUGACAGUACCGGGAGAAUAAGCUCCGGCUAACUCCGUG